rnacentral:rRNA from 1 species
UACAGAGGUCUCGAGCGUUGUUCGGAUUCAUUGGGCGUAAAGGGUGCGUAGGUGGCGCCGUAAGUCGGGUGUGAAAUUUCGGAGCUUAACUCCGAAACUGCAUUUGAUACUGCCUUGCUUGAGGACUGGAGAGGAGACUGGAAUUCACGGUGUAGCAGUGAAAUGCGUAGAUAUCGUGAGGAAGACCAGUGGCGAAGGCGGCUCACUGGCCCGAUACUGACGCUGAGGCACGAAAGCGUGGGGAGCAAACAGG